GAUGAACGCUGGCGGCGUGCCUAAUACAUGCAAGUCGAGCGAACGGACGAGAAGCUUGCUUCUCUGAUGUUAGCGGCGGACGGGUGAGUAACACGUGGAUAACCUACCUAUAAGACUGGGAUAACUUCGGGAAACCGGAGCUAAUACCGGAUAAUAUUUUGAACCGCAUGGUUCAAAAGUGAAAGACGGUCUUGCUGUCACUUAUAGAUGGAUCCGCGCUGCAUUAGCUAGUUGGUAAGGUAACGGCUUACCAAGGCAACGAUGCAUAGCCGACCUGAGAGGGGGAUCGGCCACACUGGAGCUGAGACAGGGUCCAGACUCCUACGGGAGGCAGCAGUAGGGAAUCUUCCGCAAUGGGCGAAAGCCUGACGGAGCAACGCCGCGUGAGUGAUGAAGGUCUUCGGAUCGUAAAACUCUGUUAUUAGGGAAGAACAUAUGUGUAAGUAACUGUGCACAUCUUGACGGUACCUAAUCAGAAAGCCACGGCUAACUACGUG
rnacentral:rRNA from 1 species